GACGAACGCUGGCGGCGUGCCUAAUACACGCAAGUCGAACGCACUCUCGUUUAGAUUGAAGGAGUUUGCUCCUGAUUGAUAAACAUUUGAGUGAGUGGCGGACGGGUGAGUAACACGUGGGUAACCUGCCCUAAAGUGGGGGAUAACAUUUGGAAACAGAUGCUAAUACCGCAUAAAACCUAACACCGCAUGGUGUAGGGUUGAAAGAUGGUUUCGGCUAUCACUUUAGGAUGGACCCGCGGUGCAUUAGUUAGUUGGUGAGGUAAAGGCUCACCAAGACCGUGAUGCAUAGCCGACCUGAGAGGGUAAUCGGCCACACUGGGACUGAGACACGGCCCAGACUCCUACGGGAGGCAGCAGUAGGGAAUCUUCCACAAUGGACGAAAGUCUGAUGGAGCAACGCCGCGUGAGUGAAGAAGGUUUUCGGAUCGUAAAACUCUGUUGUUGGAGAAGAAUGUAUCUGAUAGUAACUGAUCAGGUAGUGACGGUAUCCAACCAGAAAGCCACGGCUAACUACGU
rnacentral:rRNA from 1 species